UCAGCAGCCGCGGUAAUACGUAGGGUGCAAGCGUUAAUCGGAAUUACUGGGCGUAAAGCGUGCGCAGGCGGUUAUGUAAGACAGAGGUGAAAUCCCCGGGCUCAACCUGGGAACUGCCUUUGUGACUGCAUAGCUAGAGUACGGUAGAGGGGGAUGGAAUUCCGCGUGUAGCAGUGAAAUGCGUAGAUAUGCGGAGGAACACCGAUGGCGAAGGCAAUCCCCUGGACCUGUACUGACGCUCAUGCACGAAAGCGUGGGGAGCAAACAGGAUUAGAUACCCUGGUAGUCCACGCCCUAAACGAUGUCAACUGGUUGUUGGGUCUUCACUGACUCAGUAACGAAGCUAACGCGUGAAGUUGACCGCCUGGGGAGUACGGCCGCMAGGUUGAAACUCAAAGGAAUUGACAG
rnacentral:rRNA from 1 species